rnacentral:rRNA from 1 species
CCCAGACUCCUACGGGAGGCAGCGGUGGGGGAUAUUGCACAAUGGGGGGAACCCUGAUGCAGCGACGCCGCGUGGGUGAAGGAGUAUUUCGGUAUGUAAAGCCCUAUCGGCAGGGAAGAAGCAAGACGGUACCUGACUAAGAAGCCCCGGCUAACUACGUGCCAGCAGCCGCGGUAAUACGUAGGGGGCAAGCGUUAUCCGGAUUCACUGGGUGUAAAGGGAGCGUAGACGGCCAUGCAAGCCUGGAGUGAAAGCCCGGGGCCCAACCCCGGGACUGCUCUGGGAACUGUGCGGCUGGAGUGCGGGAGGGGCAGGCGGAAUUCCUGGUGUAGCGGUGAAAUGCGUAGAUAUCAGGAGGAACACCGGCGGCGAAGGCGGCCUGCUGGACCGCGACUGACGUUGAGGCUCGAAAGCGUGGGGAGCAAACAGGAUUAGAUACCCGAGUAC